rnacentral:lncRNA from 1 species
CUUGGAAGAUUCGGAGUUUCAGGGGUACUUGGACUUUCUUGAUCCACUUUACCAAACGUUGUUAUGGCUACGGAUUCUCCUGCGUUUCUUAUCAUCAGAGACUCUAAAGGACCUCUCUGUUUAUUCAUGCUCACGCUAAGUCUUCCUGGUGAUCCACCAUAGAAUGAUCUUGAAGGUGAUGAUUGAACGCUAGAAUCGUCUUUGCUUUUGCCCCAUCUCUUAAGCUUCUGAAUCAGUCCUGGUUUCUUGCUAAAGCUACUGAAUCUACUUGUGGAACUGUCCAUUGAAGCGUUGUCGAAAUCAUCGCUUCCAGGAGAUGAAGGUU